GACGAACGCUGGCGGCGUGCCUAAUACAUGCAAGUCGAGCGAAGUUUUUCUGGUGCUUGCACUAGAAAAACUUAGCGGCGAACGGGUGAGUAACACGUAAAGAACCUGCCUCAUAGACUGGGACAACUAUUGGAAACGAUAGCUAAUACCGGAUAACAGUAUUUCUCGCAUGAGAGAUAUUUAAAAGUUGGUUAUGCUAACACUAUGAGAUGGCUUUGCGGUGCAUUAGUUAGUUGGUGGGGUAAAGGCCCACCAAGGCGACGAUGCAUAGCCGACCUGAGAGGGUGAUCGGCCACACUGGGACUGAGACACGGCCCAGACUCCUACGGGAGGCAGCAGUAGGGAAUCUUCCGCAAUGGGCGAAAGCCUGACGGAGCAACGCCGCGUGAGUGAAGAAGGAUUUCGGUUCGUAAAGCUCUGUUGUUAGGGAAGAAUGGAUAUGUAGUAACUAUACAUGUAAGAGACGGUACCUAACCAGAAAGCCACGGCUAACUACGUG
rnacentral:rRNA from 1 species